UCCAUGGAAUGUGGUUUAAUCAGGCAAUCUUCUCAGUCACAUCCCAAAUAAAUCUACGUUCUUUAUUUUCACUAGUAAACAGCAAUCAUUGGUCACUGAUUAGAGUGAGAUAGAGAUUACGGUAUCUUUGUUUCUUUAUUAAAAAUGACAACUCCCUCUCCUUAUGUUUCUCUUUGAUACUGCCCCUUUUUCUCUUUCGACCUUAAAAUAAUAUUUGGCGCGCGUACUACAUUUCGGUUCAGGGCGUGGUAGUGUGAGGUCGUUACUGUGCUGGUCUGAGCCAGGUAUAUUCACAGUUUAAAGGCAAGGAAGUCCUGAAGUGAAAAAAAAUCUACCGAUAUAUGAUGUUGGCAUGAUUGAUGGUGGAGUGACGACUGAUGGCUUUGCGAAGAAGGAAGAUAUUGUUACUGCUGGUGGUCGAGUGACGAUUGGUCGAUGUAAAUGGGAAGAGCUUUGCGAAGAAGGAAGAUGUUGUUACUGCUAGAGCAGGGGUGUCAACAUGCGCCCCCAGAAAACUUCCUAUGCGGCCCUCGAACGCUUAAACAAUAAUUGUAAUAUUUUCUGUUUGCGCCCCUUUGCACAAUUCCCAAAAUGCAAUGCGGCCCUUGAAAACCCACGAGUUUGACACCCCUGUGCUAGAGGACGAGUGACGAUCGGUCGAUGUAAAUGGAAAGAUCUUUGUGACGGUAGAAGAUAUUGUUACUGCUGGUGACCGAGUGGCAAUUGAUCGAUGUAAAUGGACAGCAGGCAUACGGAUGCGAAAUGAGGUUUUGAAGAAACAAGAUGGCAAUGCUCAAUAUGGAGACGAAGCCGGAACGAAAUAUUUCACUCCCAUAAAAAACAUAUCCUGGUCACGGAAUAGCUGUAGUUGAUUCUGCCGGAAACAGCGAAUCAAGGCGAUCUCAGUAUUACAAAUCUGGAUAAAGUGCGUACUGGACGGAAGUAAAAGAUGAUUAAUCUCACAUGAAGUAGACGAAGAAUGGUAGUUUUAUCUUUAUAGAGUGUUUUAGAAUUGUACCAAUCGUAUUUUCCAUUAUAUUUUAAUCAGUUUUGUAUCCGGGUUUUAGAGGAGGUCAGCGCUUGCUUAGCCACCCCAGAUCGUGUGUCAUGAUAGGUAUUGAUUGGUUAGGGACACCGAGAUUUUUUUGGUGAUGUGUACAUGUGAGGGCUGCCAUCAAAUAACUAUCAGCUCGUAGACUGCUAUCAUAGAUAUAAACGCAAGAUUUAUUCGAAUACGGUAUCUUGUGAGUUGGCAAGGUUUCUGUACUUUGUCACAAAUUUCGUCAUUCUGUGCCUAGAAUCUUUGCAGUUUUUGUUAUUUUAACAUUUUGCCAAUCAAUGGAUAUUAAUAAAUAAAUAUAACCGAUGAGAAAAAA